GAAGUGUAGUUCAGUGAUAGAGCAUUCGUUUAGCAUAUGAAAGGCCCUGGGUUCCAUCCCCAGCUCCGCCA